CCUACGGGGGGCUGCAGUAAGGAAUAUUGGUCAAUGGACGCAAGUCUGAACCAGCCAUGCCGCGUGAAGGAUGAAGGCCCUCUGGGUUGUAAACUUCUUUUAUCUGGGACGAAAAAAGGGAAUUCUUUCCCACUUGACGGUACCAGAGGAAUAAGCACCGGCUAACUCCGUGCCAGCAGCCGCGGUAAUACGGAGGGUGCAAGCGUUAUCCGGAUUUACUGGGUUUAAAGGGUGCGUAGGUGGGUCUGUAAGUCAGUGGUGAAAUCUCCGAGCUUAACUCGGAAACUGCCAUUGAUACUAUAGGUCUUGAAUUAUCUGGAGGUAAGCGGAAUAUGUCAUGUAGCGGUGAAAUGCUUAGAUAUGACAUAGAACACCAAUUGCGAAGGCAGCUUACUACGGAUACAUUGACACUGAGGCACGAAAGCGUGGGGAUCAAACAGGAUUAGAUACCCCUGUAGUC
rnacentral:rRNA from 1 species